UCGGCAAUCGUGACUCGCGUAGCACCGAGUUUCAUUCAUUUACUUAACACCGAUAUACAGAUUUAAAUUAUUGAUAUUUGUGUACAUUUGUGAUCGCAUCGGGCGCCAAAACGUGCAUGACAAAGGGAACGAGUCGGAAACACUUUCGUCCUCCUCUCGAUGGAAUCUCACAGGCAGUGGCGACGUCGAAGCACCUGCGAGUGCCUCGACUACGCGCUAAUUAAACGUCGAUGCUGAGAGAAAAAACGUCGGACUUUCACGUCCCGAUUCACUCUCGUGCGCGCUUGUUACCGUUUUUCUUAAACUCGAUCUCAAAUAACGAGACUUGGGGGAUCCUCGGAAAUGGAAAAACUCGGGCUGACGAAGAUAUUUUAACGAGAGUCUCGCUCGAGCAGUGCUUUCUCACGAUCAUUUUAACGAAGACUCGUCGAAAAUUCUCGUCUCCCUAGUGAUAAAGUUCUGCUUCGUAGUACACUCGCUUGCAACGGCUUCUCAUUGGCGAAUCUUCGCAGUGCCUCGUCCGUCGAAGCUCCGAUCGAUGAUCUCGGACUUGCCGAUUCAAUAAGCCCGCGAUCAAAUUUUCCUCUCUUCUCAACUCCCAUUGCCAAAGCUGUUGGCAAAGUUGGCUCCUACCGAAGUCUGUGAGAGCCUCAAAGGUCGACGGUCCCGAGCGAUAAGAAUUUUAUUCCAAAAGGAGGAAUAAAAGUGUAUGGAAACACGGAGAAAAAUCGAAGCACCGAUACUCCGAGACGCACUGCCGGUUUUGAACAUUCGUCGUGUGUGCUCCCCCACGGCCCGCCCUCCCACUCUUUGUCGCGGGAAACGGACGAAUUAUUCGUUCGCCGAUCGCUUCCGAUUGAAUAACGGAAGAAAAAGUACCUGAAGUCCGCGAAUAAUUAUUGCGAGUUGGUCCCGAAUUUCCAAAAGCACCGAAAAUUCGACGACAAAUAGCGAGGAAAGACGAAGAGCUUUUUCGAAUUAUAAAAUAAACGGAAAGAUCCUCGGCGAGCAGUCCUCGAAUGAACGGCGCGCGUACGUCAACGACAUAACAACGAGAAAGUUGCAACUUCCGCGUGCUGAGGAAAGUGCCAAGUUUCUUCGAGCCAAGGAAAAAAGCGAGCUCGCACGAUCAUCGCGAUCGAUCGAGCCGGAAUAAAAUUCAGCAAAGACCGACGCGCCAGCAGAGAGUGUGAAAACUUUCCGAGCCUCCGACACGAUGAGUUUGAAAGCCCAAAGAAUUUUCGUCCACUCGGCUAUUAUUUGGAAGGGAAAAUAAACGAUGAAAAAAAAGGUGGUCGAGCAGAAGGAAGGAGAAUAACGGAAGCAAGCUAUGAAAAAUGGGAGUGCUGUUGAUGUCGGAGAUCGGAAGACCUUUGAUGAGCGAUAAGAAUAAAAAUCAGCACGAUCAAAUAUUCCACAUGAAUGUGAGCGUCGCGAAGACGGCGUUGCCGCCCCGCGCGACCGCCAUAAUAGCGAACGGCAACGGGCUAAACAACGAGGCCGAUCGGCCCAGCAUCGUAACUCACUUGGGCCGCGUCCACGCCGGGAAACAUUCGAGUUUAUCUCAUUUUCAAAGCAUCGAUACCACCUCCAUGAUCGGAAUAAUCGAUGACGUCAAACUGCUUCCGCCGCCGAUUUCAACCUCGGUAGGAUCGACUCAGCCUCCACCAAAGAAAAAAUGGAUCCGUCAUUACCUCCUCGAGGAAGAUCCUCUCGAAGUGACCCGCAUGAACGGGAACCAUUCGAUCGGAUCACGCGCCAGUCCCGUCAUCAUGAACUCCCGGGGAACACCCCCGGUCUCCGGUACUAUCGGCCUCACCGUUCAUCCCCACGUUCAUCACGUGAACUCGCAUCACCAACAGCAACAAAAUCAAGUCCAGCAACAAGCUCAGCCACAAAUUAUUCACCAACAUCACCACCACCAGCAGCAACAUCUCAACAAUCACAACAGCACAGCGCACAAUCAGUACAUCGAGAAUCACAACUCUAAUCACAGUCAGACCGGAGCCGGACAACUCGUCGUUGAUCUUGAUUCGAGCCACGACAAUAAAAAACAUCGGAAUGGACCACCUUGCGUUAUACGUUCGGGUACGAGGGAGGUUCACAACAAACUCGAGAAAAAUCGUCGUGCUCAUCUCAAAGAAUGCUUCGAAUUGUUGAAGAAACAACUUCCUGCCCAGGACGAGAAAAAAUCGUCGAAUCUCUCGAUUCUUCAUGCUGCUAUCAAACACAUUCAGACAUUGAGAAGAAAAGAACGAGACUCGGAGCACGAGAUGGAAAGGCUUGCUAGAGAAAAAAUCGCCGCUCAACAGAGGAUAGUCGCGCUGAAGAAAGAAUUAUCUGCAACGUGGGAUCACAUUGAUUUCAGUACUUUGCUGCAGGAACCAAAUUCGGCUGUAGACCCGUCAGCCUCGAAGAAUGUUUCAGAAAGUAUGGACGUGGACGUGACUGGGCUGGCACGUGGCGGUACGAGGUACAGUAGCACGAGUAGCCUGAGUAGCGCCGCGACAGCGAGUUCACCGCAAAAUCUUCAGACAGCAAACACGACCUCGAAUAUUCACAAUCAAGUGGCAACCGCGGCGGUUGUGUGCCAAACCCAGGGCCUCAAUCUCGCUCAAAGCUCGAGGGAAAGUCCACCCGCGAGCUCGAGUCCCGGAGCAUCAACUCCUAGCAUUCCUACACCCGCUCAAGAAAAAGUCGUGACAACUUCGGCUAACGUGAUGCAGCAGCAACAGUCGCAUCAAUUGCACUUACCAAUGUUGAACACGAGUCAAGGCUUGGCAACGAUUGUUCCCGCUCUCCAGCAUCUCGGUCCAGGACUGAGGGUUAUUCCCGGCGAUACGAGACAACUCCUUGUAACUCAUACCACCGGCAACAACGAGACUCGUCCGCUGACUCUCGCAGUUCAAAAUUCCUCAGAUCAAUCGAGACCUUUGAUUACUGUACAAACGAGCACUGGAAGUGAGCCAAGACCUGUCGCCUUGGUCGUUCACUCUUCCGCCGCAAAUGAUAAUAGAGUUACUUUUGUUCAUUCGAAUUUGUCGAACAACGAUAGGCCAUUGGCACUUGCUGUACAGUCAUCCGCGAACGAAGUAAGGCCCGUCACGUUCGUACACUCUGGGAAUGAGGCAAGGCCACUCGUUCUCGCUACACAUGCUGCCCCAACACUCAACGUUACGACCGCCCAGUCGAGAAUGAGAACCGGUGAUGCGCAGACAACUCAUAAAAUGGUUGGUGGAGUGACACUCGUUGGUGGAAAUGGAUCGGAAUUAACGAGACUCCCCGGAGGCGCUGAACUCAAUAUUUUACCUGCAAACGGUGUGUUCCGUUCCGUCAAGGCUCAGCCACUCACUGUUCAAGGAGGUGACUGACCACAAACAAAUUUCAUUACGAAAAACACAAACAUUUCCCCCUUUCCAUCGCACAGUUGUUGGGGUCUGACACUGAGUCAUGCAGGCGUCUCGCUUCAAGCUUCGCCGGGCAAAGGUGGCUCGACGGUUAUGCAAACGAAUCCGUCCACAGAGGGUCAAAUAACUCACAUAGUAGGUCAACACGCCCCAU
rnacentral:misc_RNA from 1 species